UUGUAGAGCAUGCAUUGCAUGCACUCGUCAUGGACUCUCUAGCCUGCAGUGGAAGAUCAUCAGUGGUGCAGAUACUCCAAGAGUACUUAUAAGAAGAAUGGAAGGUCAGAAUGGGCUCUGAACAGAGUUUUGGAAAUGGAGUGAUGAAUGGAGUCCCCUCGUCCCACAACAGGAUAACUAAACAGACUGUGGCAUCUACCUUCUGCAGACCCACCACAAACGUUCCUUUCCAACCUGAACAGAGGACAGUGAAGAAGAAGAGGAAGAGGAGGCAAAUCAAACAACUCAUUGUCAGGCUUCACAGACAGCAAAAUGUUUUAAAAUAGUUUUUUACUUCUUAUGGAUCUUUCAAUGUGACUACAACCUCAACCCCUUCCUACAGGAUGUUUCAUGGAAGGAAAUUAAAUUUGCAUGUGUGAAAAAUGAAAUGUCAUUUGCUUUGGAAAUGGAUCAUUUGUUCUUGAAAUCCAAUUGAAAAUGUAGCCAUAAAUAAAAUCUAUCAAAAUAAAAUGACAAGAUGCUGAA